GCUAAAUUAGUUUAAUUAAAAAUAUCAGCUUGUGGAUCUGAAGAUAAAAAUUUAUUUUAUUUAGCC
rnacentral:tRNA from 1 species